rnacentral:misc_RNA from 1 species
GGAUCCCUGCUCGGGCAGCGACGUCCGCCCAUGCACGCCUAUUCAGUGUUGGACCAAGGGCGAUGUUAGCCUUGGCCGUUCGUUCGGUUUCCUGUGCUGCGUACCUACCGUGACGGCAACGGUUGUCGAAAUUGUCCCACGUUCGUCCUGUGCUGCCCGUGAGGGCUUGCCCACUGGAUGAACCGCGAAGCACUCUCUGCGAUCCCCGGCGCCCGCGGCACGACGUGAGGCGUCAGUGGCCCGUUGUCGAGUUGCUUGUGCUCUCGGAUGCAGAAUGCAAAGCGGGUACGGGGUUGCCGACCUCUAUCUACCCAAAACGAAGCGUUCGUCGCUAACCAGCGCACGACUGUCGUCUCCGUCUUGGCGGG